rnacentral:ribozyme from 1 species
CGCACGUUACUUGAAGGUGUUCCGUCACCACAUCGCAUGUUUUCUUCUCCAUCGCCAUCAUUGCCAUCGAUCUCGCCACCCACAAAACAAAAUCGAAGACUCU